GUGGGGAAUCUUGCGCAAUGGACGAAAGCCUGACGCAGCCAUGCCGCGUGAAUGAUGAAGGUCUUAGGAUUGUAAAAUUCUUUCACCGGGGACGAUAAUGACGGUACCCGGAGAAGAAGCUCCGGCUAACUUCGUGCCAGCAGCCGCGGUAAUACGAAGGGGGCUAGCGUUGCUCGGAAUUACUGGGCGUAAAGGGCGCGUAGGCGGACAGCUUAGUCAGAGGUGAAAGCCCAGGGCUCAACCUUGGAAUUGCCUUUGAUACUGGCUGUCUUGAGUACGGGAGAGGUGAGUGGAACUCCGAGUGUAGAGGUGAAAUUCGUAGAUAUUCGGAAGAACACCAGUGGCGAAGGCGACUCACUGGCCCGUUACUGACGCUGAGGCGCGAAAGCGUGGGGAGCAAACAGGAUUAGAAACCCCAGUAGUCC
rnacentral:rRNA from 1 species